rnacentral:rRNA from 1 species
UGGGGAAUAUUGGACAAUGGGCGCAAGCCUGAUCCAGCAAUGCCGCGUGUGUGAAGAAGGCCUGCGGGUUGUAAAGCACUUUCAGUGGGGAGGAAGGUUUAUUGGUUAAUAACCAAUAGAAUUGACGCUACCCACAGAAGAAGCACCGGCUAACUCUGUGCCAGCAGCCGCGGUAAUACAGAGGGUGCGAGCGUUAAUCGGAAUUACUGGGCGUAAAGGGUGCGUAGGUGGUUAAUUAAGUCAAAUGUGAAAUCCCCGGGCUUAACCUGGGAAUGGCAUGUGAUACUGGUUGACUAGAGAAUGGAAGAGGGAAGUGGAAUUUCCGGUGUAGCGGUGAAAUGCGUAGAUAUCGGAAGGAACAUCAGUGGCGAAGGCGACUUCCUGGUCCAUGACUGACACUGAGGCACGAAAGCGUGGGGAGCAAACAGGAUUAGAUACCCCCGUAGUCC